rnacentral:lncRNA from 1 species
GGGGCAAUCCGACCAAGUAAGAGAUGAACAUUACCAACCGGACAAGAUAGCAUUCGGGCGCGUUGGCAAUAAGGACUUAUUGAGCAAGGAGCAAUAACAACUCAAACAUUGAAAGAUCAUUUUGCAUUCAUGCAUAUACAUUUAGCCAGGGUAUUUUGAUUCAUUUUUAUCAUAAUCACUAGGCAUAAAUAGGUUCAUAGAGGUCAUGUUCCCCAAAGAACAGAUCAAUGAAGAUGGCAGGUCUUGCUUUCCUGAGUUGACAGAAGCAGAUCGAAGUAACCAU